GGUCCUACGGGACGCAGCAGUGGGGAAUAUUGGGCAAUGGGCGCAAGCCUGACCCAGCAACGCCGCGUGAAGGAAGAAGGCUUUCGGGUUGUAAACUUCUUUUCUUGGGGACGAAGAAAGUGACGGUACCCAAGGAAUAAGCCACAGCUAACUACGUGCCAGCAGCCGCGGUAAUACGUAGGUGGCAGGCGUUAUCCGGAUUUAUUGGGUGUAAAGGGCGUGUAGGCGGGAAUGCCAGUCAGAUGUGAAAAAUAUGGGCUGAAACCAUAGCCUGCAGUUGAAAGUGUAUUUCUUGAG
rnacentral:rRNA from 1 species